CCUACGGGAGGCAGCAGUGGGGAAUAUUGCACAAUGGGGGAAACCCUGAUGCAGCAACGCCGCGUGAGUGAUGACGGUCUUCGGAUUGUAAAGCUUUGUCUUUGGGGACGAUAAUGACGGUACCCAAGGAGGAAGCCACGGCUAACUACGUGCCAGCAGCCGCGGUAAU
rnacentral:rRNA from 1 species